rnacentral:rRNA from 1 species
AUACGUAGGUGGCGAGCGUUAUCCGGAAUGAUUGGGCGUAAAGGGUGCGUAGGUGGCAGAACAAGUCUGGAGUAAAAGGUAUGGGCUCAACCCGUACUGGCUCUGGAAACUGUUCAGCUAGAGAACAGAAGAGGACGGCGGAACUCCAUGUGUAGCGGUAAAAUGCGUAGAUAUAUGGAAGAACACCGGUGGCGAAGGCGGCCGUCUGGUCUGUUGCUGACACUGAAGCACGAAAGCGUGGGGAGCAAAUAGGAUUAGAUACCCUAGUAGUCCACGCCGUAAACGAUGAGAACUAGGUGUUGGGGGAAUAACUCAGUGCCGCAGUUAACGCAAUAAGUUCUCCGCCUGGGGAGUAUGCACGCAAGUGUGAAACUCAAAGGAAUUGACGGGGCCCGCACAAGCGGUGGAGUAUGUGGUUUAAUUCGAAGCAACGCGCAGAACCUUACCAACCCUUGACAUCCUGUGCUAUAUUUAGAGAUAGAUAGUUCCCUUCGGGGACGCAGUGACAGGUGC